rnacentral:tRNA from 1 species
UCCUGGUGGCUCAGAGGUUAAAGCGUCUGCCUGCAAUGCAGGAGACCCGGGUUCGAUCCCUGGAUCAGGAA